UGGCAGAUAACUUACCACAGAACUUCAGUUUGAGUUUAUUCAAGUUAUCGGCAUGUAGGGAAAUUGUCAGUUAUAAAUUUAUCACUAUCUGGGACGUGUUUUACAUUUUUUUAUUGGCUCGAUUUCAAGGUAUCCUGACUAUUAAUUUCUCAACCAAGAAGAGCGGACCAUCCCACGAUGAGGUACAAAGAAUUGGGAUUGGCAGCUAUCUGUGUGUUCGUGUUGGAAUCUGUACGGGGAAGCCAUUUUUGUGGAUCAACAAUAAGUUGGAAGCCGUCCCUUACUGAAUACAACAAGGUUAACUUUCAGUGGCAGUCUGCCUGGACGCUGGGGCAUGGCCCUUG